rfam:Ovis aries breed Texel chromosome 13, whole genome shotgun sequence.
CAAGUGGCUUUUUUCAAAGCCAAAGCAUUGGUAAAAGCAAAAGAUC